rnacentral:rRNA from 1 species
CAGUCGCCGCGGGAAUACGUAGGGUGCGAGCGUUAAUCGGAAUUACUGGGCGUAAAGCGUGCGCGGGCGGUUUUGUAAGACAGGCGUGAAAUCCCCGGGCUCAACCUGGGAAUGGCGCUUGUGACUGCAAAGCUAGAGUGCGGCAGAGGGGGAUGGAAUUCCGCGUGUAGCAGUGAAAUGCGUAGAUAUGCGGAGGAACACCGAUGGCGAAGGCAAUCCCCUGGACCUGUACUGACGCUCAUGCACGAAAGCGUGGGGAGCAAACAGGAUUAGAUACCCGUGUAGUCCCUGUCUCUUAUAC